rnacentral:lncRNA from 1 species
UCGCCGGAGCUCCGAUCAGCCCGUUUUCGCCGUUGAAGUUACUGGUUUCUUCUAUGCAGUUCAGUCCAGAUCAGAAGCAGAAGACAGCAAGGUUUUGGAGACUUCGAGGCCCGUUUUCAGUGUUGGCGUCGUGGUCGUCAUGAACUCACCGGCACGCAAAACCGGUGAGUUUAUCAUCUAAACCUCGCUUAGUAAGAUAAUCAUGCUUAAGGGGUGUUUAGAUUAGUCUAAUUAGGUUUAGGUGGUUAGAUUAGAUUAUUUUAAUGUAAAUUAGAUUAGUUGUAUGAUUAGUUUAAGGGAUGUUUAAUUAGGGCUAAUUGUAUGUUUAAAUUAGUGUAAUCUAGUUUAAGCCCUAAUUAAUUAUUUUAAUUUAUUUAUUAUUUCGAAUUUUAUAAAUAUUAUUUUAUUAAAUUAUAUUAUUAUAAUAUAAUAUUUAAUUAUUAAAAUUUCGGAAUUAAAUUUAAUUAUUUAAUAAUUUCGAAAAUUUUGCCGGGAUGGCCGGUCGUUAGAAUUUCGCACUGAUCGCAGCAGUGCGGUCAGUUUGUAUCAAUUGUAUGUGUAAUUGCGAAAUUGAGUGAAAAUGAUGAUUGUGGUUAAUAAUUCCAAAAGUGUGGAAUUCAGUGAAAUUGGAGAAGUUUUGGUAUUUAACUUGAAAAUACCCGGUGUUGGCUUUUGGCACCGUAAUUGGUUUGUAGGAUCAGUUUGAAUCGUUGGAUGUUAUUGGAUUGUAUACCCAGUUCUAUGGUUUAAAUAUAUUUACCGCUUUGGCGAGCAAUUGGUUUAUAUAUGUCAGCUUGUGUGAGCAUUAUAUGUCAGCUUGUGAGAGCAAUGAUCGUUUAUCAAUUUGUGAGAGCAACGAUCCAUAUAUCAGCUUGUGUGAGCUAUCAUCUAUGUAUAUAUUGUGUGAGCUAUCAUCUAUGUAUAUAUCAGCUUGUGCGAGCUACCAUCUAUAUCAUCUUGUGAGAGCAUUGCAUCCAUGUCAGCUUGGUAUGAAUUGAUAGAUGAUAUGAAUUAAUAGAUGGUAUGAAUUGAUAGAUGAUAUGAAUUAAUAGAUGGUAUGAAUUUAUCGACGUAUGAAUUGCACUGACAUGCAGGAAGGACUGAGGCAAGGUAAGUCCUCUAUUCUCUUUGUGUGGCUAGAGCACCCUGGGGCUUAUUUUCUUCCUAAUCGAGUUCUAGAGGGUAAGACCUGCUGAGACAUUGUCUCAUUCCGGUUGUAGGAUAAUAUUUCAGGUCCCUAGAUGGCGGAUCCUCCGGAGCUUUUUGGUAGACCAGUGAGGGUCGCUGAGAGGAUUUUUGACUUCGCUGAUCCCGACUGAAGAGCUGGCGAAUGGACCUGUCUAGCUG